UCUGUUGGUUUUAGGGGAAAGAGAUGGCAAGAGAGAUGGCGACACCAAACCUAUCCGCGCCGGUACCCAAUCCGUUCCCUCUCGUGACCUCUUGCGCCGUUAGAUGACCUGGAGCAGUACAUGCCGUCGAUCGACAACACCGCUGCCCAGACCUCCAACCACCGCGCCUCCUCCGCCACUGCGUAGACUGCCUCCCGUGUGACCAAGCGACUCAAGGGCCUACUUGAGCACGUACGACUAGAAGGUUCGGCCAACAUGGUUUAGCUCACCCGACGUUCACGCAACAGAACCUCCGGUAAGGACUGGCUCCGUACCAGGCGCGCCAGUUCGAUGACGACAACGCGGCCAGUGGUCCCUCUGGCGUAGAACGCAGCGAUUAGACCUUUGCGUCUACGGCCAGCGGCCCCUCCAGUGCCCACGCCCCUGUCUCUUGAAACCGCAGCGCAACUUUCCGUACAACAAUGAAAAAGCAGGGUCCGAUUCCUUCUCGUUGUCCUGCUUCCCUCCUUCUGUUCUUUUAAUACUGUUAAAUCAAGUACCAGAUCCUCGUUCCUUUCAUGUGUAGGUAGAAACACUAUAACUAUCCGUAUUAUGAUGUAUGUCUGAGAGAGUUAACACAUCUAUCCAGUAGUUCAUUGCCAAUCGUCAAGUACGAAGACGAAGUGGAAAAUCAAUUAAUAGGCGAAAAUUCAUAAACAACAACUUCACUCGUAGUUUAACGUCCUUAAAACAUUAAGUAGUCAUCUUAAUAGGCGAAGUAAGCGAAAACAAUAUUGCUGUCCGUAAAACAUUGUAGAACGGCUUCACGCGUAAAACAUCUCUAAUAGGCAAAAAUUCAUAAAAUAAAUUACACAGUUAGAGGCCAACAUUAGGAUCUUCCGUCAUUUACACGUGAACACAAAACGAUUACGUUGUCUCAUAGAUACUCUAAUCAUUAAUAGACAUAUUGUACCUUUAAGAAGUCUUGACAUUAAAACUUACUUCGAUAAAAGACUAUAAACUUAGAACGGUUUUUACUUGUACUCACUAUAUUGGGUAUAUUGUUUUGUCUACUAUCAACAGAAACGUUCAACGUGACGUUUCUAACGAAAAAUCACUUCAAUAGGAACCGCCACAAUCUAUUCAUAAUUGCACUGACAAAUGAACCAAUUCUAAUGUAAGUGCAAUAAAGAAGAUUGGAAAAUUAGAGAUAUGUGUCGAUCGAUGUCGAACCCUGUUGACGAUCUUCUUACUUGCCUACUAAGGAGAUGUCGUUGCGGGCUCCAGUCCAAGAUACGCUCACGUCGUCACGACCGCCACAGCCGGUACCAACAUCGUACACGUGAACGGCUCCCAGCUACUCCGAAACUACUACCGCGAUCGUUUCUUCCGUACCUCGUUUACCUCUGCCCCAAGGAAACACUGUUGCAUACCCUCCGACUACCCAAGGGAACCUUCAACCUUGUUACGCUACAACGGCUCUGUCGUGUGACCCAAGGUUAAGGUCAACCUGCUUAUCAUACAUGCACUAAGUAAGUGAGAAAACUAGUAAGGAAUAACGUGCAUGACGUCAACCUCCUAUAUGGUUAUAUUACCUACCUAGAUGAUUUAUAAUUGUACGGUUCAUGCUGUCAUGUACGGUUGAUUGACUCGAUAUAUACCACACUGUGACUGCUAGAUGCGCGAAGGAGGGAUUCACAACAAACGACUGACGGCCCGGAAGGUACCCUACAACACGCGUCUAUUAAAACACCCUUCAGAAUGGCAGGGAUAAAGUAUCUUUUUUUAGGUCCAUACAAUAAAAGACAUAAAAGUUUUUUUACUGUUACUAUCCUUCGAAUCUUCAGCACACAGUACGAAACCUUUAUUUUGAAUGUUGGGGGUAUCAGGUCUUAACAUGACUUGAAACGCACAGUACAUAAAUAUUGGCGUAAACAAAGAGUUCGAAAUCAAUAAUUUGAAAAGAGAUUUUAACAUCUCAAGGUCAAGACUUAUGAUUUGAAACGAAACGUACACAAUUAGAAUUUUUUUGUGUUUAAACUCUUUAUAGUUUACCUUCAAGUGUUGAUUAUCUUUUCAAAUCGAGAAUGUUCUACCAUCCCUAAAGUUUUCAAAAUCGAAGUAGAAAACAAUAAUGUGGUAUACAAUACAGUCACUUAACUCAAUAUAUUACUCGUACCAGAAUAGACAAGUCCAACGACUCAAAACCGGAAUUCCACGUCGUAACUAUUCCUUUAAUACGUAGAAAACUCCAAUGACUAUAAAUUGGUAGAGUACAGAUAGUUAUCACGUAUGUAAUACCAACUAUUUUUAUAGAACGGUACAGUUUACGUAUUACAACAUUAAGGAGGUAAGGUAUUACAUCACGUGGGUGCGAAAAACUCUAUUUCAAACUGGUAUUUAAAUUGAUUGUACCAAUUUAAAUACCAGUUUGAAUUUAGAGCUUUUCGCGACUGCGUGAUGUAAUGCCUUACCUCCCUCAUAUACUAUUCAAACCCACAUCGAGACACAAUCACGGUCAACGAAUAAUACGCGAAUUGGAUAACAUAGAAAAAUGGUGUGUCUAAUUAAUUAAGUUGGACUCCUAUCUGUAGGAGUGAAGUCAAAUUUUAUUAGGUCUUCUUCACACUAAAGAUAAGGUAUAAGUAACUGAAAAGAUUCUGGAUAAUCAUUUAAGUAAUCGAAGAAAUUAGGUCACUAAGACCCAUUUGGCCGCUUCUUAUACUUAUAAUGCAUACAUAUAAUGGG
rnacentral:rRNA from 1 species